rnacentral:lncRNA from 1 species
ACUGUAAUUUUUAUGAAAUUGGAUUCUUCUUUCUUCUUCUAGACUUGGAUGCAUCUGUAUAAAUUUAUUUUCUUUACAAUCUUCUAUGGAUGUUGGUAAAUAUAGCUGCCAUUUUAGGACAUUCUCUUCAUCUAAAAUCUGGAAUAUGAUGAACAAUUUUGUGUUUAAUCAGUUAGUCUUCUUCAGGCUGGGGGGUUAUAACUUAUGCAGCAGAGUUUUCCAAGGUUUCUUCAAAUUGAUUUUGCUGAAGUUUUGCAACAGGAGUACCUCAUCAAGGCUGUAUUCAGAAGGUGUCUGAUUGUUAAUUUCCCGUUUAUGUCGUCGUACAAUGUCCCAAGGAACUAUCAUUAUCGCUGGCAGUCUGACUGACACUAUCAAUGGAAUGAAUAUAAUUACAGCACCAAGCGAUGAUGGUCUGUCACACGCUGUAGCUUCAUAGCUGAACGAAAAGAUUCCGAGAGGAAAGUAGAGAAAUAAAAAGAGUGGAUUAAAAGUGAGUGGAACAUACGUUCCAAUUGCCAUACCAAAGGCCAAUGAUUUUCAAUACAACAUAAAAAUCCAGACCCACAUUUACAUCCCAAACCAACCCGGCUUAACACUGAGUUUGCGUGUUGACUCGUGCUUCUAAAGUUGAAGUCUCCCUAAUUGUCUUCACUUUCGGGUCUUCUCCCACAAUCAAUUGCCUCGAUGAAUUAAAGGAGUCAUCGAUCUUGAUCUCUUGUCCCCAAUGACUUGAAUAAAAUUUUUCUACCGUUGUCAUGAUGACAAAAGAACCUUAAUUAUGAUUUUUUGAAUUUAUGAUCGUUUACUUGAGCAGUGAAAACAUUUAAUCUUGCUCAAUGGGAACAUGAGAUCAAUUCUAAAGAAGUUAUUCUACAUAAAUCAUGACUUGACGUUUUAUUUUCAAAAUGUAUUGCUACGUUGAAUAUAUAAUACAAGUAAAUAAAUUUGUGUCUUAGAUUCAAUAAGGUAUUUAGGCUAGCUAAAUGCUUUGCCUUCUAAUAUGUUCUACUGAUUGGAGUCUAUAAGUAUACGAAGAGUUCAUUUGAUACAACUUUUGCUUUUACUUUUGCUUUUACAUUUACUUUUAUUUCUUAUAGAAAAGUUAGAUUCCUCAAAAACUCUUUUAAGUCAGACAAAGUAUUUUUAGAAAAUUAUCCUAACAUAUUCAAAAGUAGUUUCUCAGUCGUAGAAGUAGUUUUUAAAUUUUCAAAAAUCUUGUCAAACGAACCCUAAGCUAUCUUGACUGCGUAAAUCUUCCUUCUCUUUACCUCUACUUGUUGGCAUACAUAUAUUAUGAGAACGCAAACAAAAUUUAUCAAAUUGGAACAUUCUGUUGUUCGUUUUGCUCUCUUCUUGUAUAUUGUCACUCAACCACUAACAAUAUGUUUGGCACCAGUGGUACAUGCAGACAUUUUGAAUUAGAGGAACGCUAUUUGUUCGGGGUUGGAGAUGAGGAAUGAAAUCCGACUUAAUUUGCAAGCUGUAUUGAGUUUAAAUCAUAAAUAAAAUUAUUUAAUUAUCGAGUAAAAUAAUUUACACAAUUUAAUUGGAUAACAUAAGACAGCCAAACUACUUUUAUUAAUUUACUUAGGCAAGCACCUUGGCCAACCACAAAAAUACACUCACGCCCCCACCUAUAUUUUCUCCACUCAUUCUAUCUCACAUACCUUCUCCUUGUUUCUCUCUGUAUCUUCCCUUUCACAAACUCUGUCUUCCAUAUAUACACUACAUACAUCAACUAUAUUUGUAGAUAACAAUAUCGGUUGGCUGCACUUCUAAAAGGUUCUCAUGUGGUGAUUGAUUAAGAACAGUAAACUUCUGGAUAAUUUCAUUAAGACUGUAAUUUUUAUGAAAUUGGAUUCUUCUUUCUUCUUCUAGACUUGGAUGCAUCUGUAUAAAUUUAUUUUCUUUACAAUCUUCUAUGGAUGUUGGUAAAUAUAGCUGCCAUUUUAGGACAUUCUCUUCAUUUGAAAUCUGGAAUAUGAUGAACAAUUUUGUGUUUAAUCAGUUAGUCUUCUUCAGGCUGGGGGGUUAUAACUUAUGCAGCAGAGUUUUCCAAGGUUUCUUCAAAUUGAUUUUGCUGAAGUUUUGCAACAGGAGUCUCUGUCUGCCUCUAAAUGCCUAAAUGCUAAAUCUGAUUUUGUGAUUCAAAAAAUAAAAAGCUUAAAAGUCGUUGGGUCAUGUUACCCACCAGGACCUACUGUAGGUCCGCCAGUGUUUAGCAC